CUUGGAAGGAGACGAUUCAUUUGACUUCUCCAAAAUGAGGUUGUAAAGUCACCAGAGUGGUACAGGCGAACAUAGAGUACAAUCUACCCAAUGUCGGCAACAAAGAUUUGGAUGAAUGAUCAUACAAAGAUUGGGACAAUCAGUUUGAUUUGUUUAUAAAACAGGUAUAUAGAUGGAGAUGAAAGUAAAUUAAAAAAUAUCUAUCCAAAUUUAUUUUCAUAUCUAAAUCCAUCCG
rnacentral:lncRNA from 1 species